UACGAAGGUCCCAAGCGUUAUCCGGAUUUAUUGGGUUUAAAGGGUGCGUAGGCGGGCUAUUAAGUCAGUGGUGAAAGCCCCAAGCUUAACUUGGGAACUGCCAUUGAUACUGAUGGUCUUGAGUACAUUUGAGGUGGGCGGAAUGUGUCAUGUAGCGGUGAAAUGCUUAGAUAUGACACAGAACACCGAUUGCGAAGGCAGCUCACUAAACUGUA
rnacentral:rRNA from 1 species